UCGGGAAUUUUGGGCAAUGGGCGAAAGCCUGACCCAGCAACGCCGCGUGAAGGAUGAAGUAUUUCGGUAUGUAAACUUCGAAAGAAUAGGAAGAAUAAAUGACGGUACUAUUUAUAAGGUCCGGCUAACUACGUGCCAGCAGCCGCGGUAAUACGUAGGGACCAAGCGUUGUUCGGAUUUACUGGGCGUAAAGUGCGCGUAGGCGGCAAUUCAAGUCAUCUGUGAAAUCUCCGGGCUUAACUCGGAACGGUCAAGUGAUACUGUCGCGCUAGAGUGCAGAAGGGGCAAUCGGAAUUCUUGGUGUAGCGGUGAAAUGCGUAGAUAUCAAGAGGAACACCUGAGGUGAAGACGGGUUGCUGGGCUGACACUGACGCUGAGGCGCGAAGGCCAGGGGAGCAAACGGGAUUAGAUACCCUAGUAGUCCCUGAGCGGGCUGGCAAGGCGCAU
rnacentral:rRNA from 1 species